rnacentral:snRNA from 1 species
CGGCGUGCCUCGGCAUCA